GCUCGAGUGGCGAACGGGUGAGUAACACGUGAGUAACCUGCCCUUGACUUUGGGAUAACUUCAGGAAACUGGGGCUAAUACCGGAUAGAAGCUCCUGCUGCAUGGUGGGGGUUGGAAAGUUUCGGCGGUUGGGGAUGGACUCGCGGCUUAUCAGCUUGUUGGUGGGGUAGUGGCUUACCAAGGCUUUGACGGGUAGCCGGCCUGAGAGGGUGACCGGCCACAUUGGGACUGAGAUACGGCCCAG
rnacentral:rRNA from 1 species